CACGCCGUAAACGAUGAUAACUAGCUGUCGGGGCUCUUAGAGCUUCGGUGGCGCAGCUAACGCAUUAAGUUAUCCGCCUGGGGAGUACGGCCGCAAGGUUAAAACUCAAAGGAAUUGACGGGGGCCUGCACAAGCGGUGGAGCAUGUGGUUUAAUUCGAAGCAACGCGCAGAACCUUACCAGCGUUUGACAUGGCAGGACGAUUUCCAGAGAUGGACUUCUUCUCGUAAGAGACCUGCACACAGGUGC
rnacentral:rRNA from 1 species